UACGCAGGCGGUUUGUUAAGCGAGAUGUGAAAGCCCCGGGCUCAACCUGGGAACUGCAUUUCGAACUGGCAAACUAGAGUGUGAUAGAGGGUGGUAGAAUUUCAGGUGUAGCGGUGAAAUGCGUAGAGAUCUGAAGGAAUACCGAUGGCGAAGGCAGCCACCUGGGUCAACACUGACGCUCAUGUACGAAAGCGUGGGGAGCAAAC
rnacentral:rRNA from 1 species